UACAGAGGUCCCAAGCGUUGUUCGGAUUCAUUGGGCGUAAAGGGUGCGUAGGCGGCGCGGUAAGUCGGGUGUGAAAUCUCGGGGCUUAACUCCGAAACUGCAUUCGAUACUGCCGUGCUUGAGGACUGGAGAGGAGACUGGAAUUUACGGUGUAGCGGUGAAAUGCGUAGAUAUCGAGAGGAACACCUGCGGCGAAGGCGGGUUGCUGGGCUGACACUGACGCUGAGGCGCGAAAGCUAGGGGAGCGAACGGG
rnacentral:rRNA from 1 species